rnacentral:rRNA from 1 species
CAGUCAGAACGAUGACCCCCAGCUUGCUGGGGUGAUUAGUGGCGAACGGGUGAGUAACACGUGAGUAACCUGCCCCCGACUCUGGGAUAAGCCCGGGAAACUGGGUCUAAUACUGGAUAUGCACCGUAGGCCGCAUGGCUUUUGGUGGAAAGAUUUUUCGGUUGGGGAUGGACUCGCGGCCUAUCAGCUUGUUGGUGAGGUAAUGGCUCACCAAGGCGACGACGGGUAGCCGGCCUGAGAGGGUGACCGGCCACACUGGGACUGAGACACGGCCCAGACUCCUACGGGAGGCAGCAGUGGGGAAUAUUGCACAAUGGGCGAAAGCCUGAUGCAGCGACGCCGCGUGAGGGAUGACGGCCUUCGGGUUGUAAACCUCUUUCAGUAGGGAAGAAGCGAAAGUGACGGUACCUGCAGAAGAAGCGCCGGCUAACUACGUGCCAGCAGCCACGGUAAUACGUAGGGCGCAAGCGUUAUCCGGAAUUAUUGGGCGUAAAGAGCUCGUAGACGGUUUGUCGCGUCUGCCCUGAAAGUCCGAGGCUCAACCUCGGAUCUGCGGUGGGUACGGGCAGACUAGAGUGAUGUAGGGGAGACUGGAAUUCCUGGUGUAGCGGUGAAAUGCGCAGAUAUCAGGAGGAACACCGAUGGCGAAGGCAGGUCUCUGGGCAUUAACUGACGCUGAGGAGCGAAAGCAUGGGGAGCGAACAGGAUUAGAUCCCUGGUAGUCCAUGCCGUAAACGUUGGGCACUAGGUGUGGGGGACAUUCCACGUUUUCCGCGCCGUAGCUAACGCAUUAAGUGCCCCGCCUGGGGAGUACGGCCGCAAGGCUAAAACUCAAAGGAAUUGACGGGGGCCCGCACAAGCGGCGGAGCAUGCGGAUUAAUUCGAUGCAACGCGAAGAACCUUACCAAGGCUUGACAUGUGCCAGACCGCCGUGGAAACACGGUUUCCCCUUUGGGGCUGGUUCACAGGUGGUGCAUGGUUGUCGUCAGCUCGUGUCGUGAGAUGUUGGGUUAAGUCCCGCAACGAGCGCAACCCUCGUUCUAUGUUGCCAGCGGGUCAUGCCGGGGACUCAUAGGAGACUGCCGGGGUCAACUCGGAGGAAGGUGGGGACGACGUCAAAUCAUCAUGCCCCUUAUGUCUUGGGCUUCACGCAUGCUACAAUGGCCGGUACAAUGGGUUGCGAUACUGUGAGGUGGAGCUAAUCCCAAAAAGCCGGUCUCAGUUCGGAUUGGGGUCUGCAACUCGACCCCAUGAAGUCGGAGUCGCUAGUAAUCGCAGAUCAGCAACGCUGCGGUGAAUACGUUCCCGGGCCUUGUACACACCGCCCGUCAAGUCACGAAAGUUGGUAACACCCGAAGCCGUGGUCUAAUCUCUCUUGUGUGUUUUUUCUUCUCCUGUUAUCUCCUUCGG